rnacentral:rRNA from 1 species
GGUUAAGCGACUAAGCGUACACGGUGGAUGCCCUGGCAGUCAGAGGCGAUGAAGGACGUGCUAAUCUGCGAUAAGCGUCGGUGAGGUGAUAUGAACCGUUAUAACCGGCGAUUUCCGAAUGGGGAAACCCAGUGUGUUUCGACACACUAUCAUUAACUGAAUCCAUAGGUUAAUGAGGCGAACCGGGGGAACUGAAACAUCUAAGUACCCCGAGGAAAAGAAAUCAACCGAGAUUCCCCCAGUAGCGGCGAGCGAACGGGGAGGAGCCCAGAGCCUGAAUCAGUGUGUGUGUUAGUGGAAGCGUCUGGAAAGGCGCGCGAUACAGGGUGACAGCCCCGUACACAAAAAUGCACAUAUUGUGAGCUCGAUGAGUAGGGCGGGACACGUGGUAUCCUGUCUGAAUAUGGGGGGACCAUCCUCCAAGGCUAAAUACUCCUGACUGACCGAUAGUGAACCAGUACCGUGAGGGAAAGGCGAAAAGAACCCCGGCGAGGGGAGUGAAAAAGAACCUGAAACCGUGUACGUACAAGCAGUGGGAGCCUCUUAAUGGGGUGACUGCGUACCUUUUGUAUAAUGGGUCAGCGACUUAUAUUCUGUAGCAAGGUUAACCGAAUAGGGGAGCCGAAGGGAAACCGAGUCUUAACUGGGCGUUAAGUUGCAGGGUAUAGACCCGAAACCCGGUGAUCUAGCCAUGGGCAGGUUGAAGGUUGGGUAACACUAACUGGAGGACCGAACCGACUAAUGUUGAAAAAUUAGCGGAUGACUUGUGGCUGGGGGUGAAAGGCCAAUCAAACCGGGAGAUAGCUGGUUCUCCCCGAAAGCUAUUUAGGUAGCGCCUCGUGAAUUCAUCUCCGGGGGUAGAGCACUGUUUCGGCAAGGGGGUCAUCCCGACUUACCAACCCGAUGCAAACUGCGAAUACCGGAGAAUGUUAUCACGGGAGACACACGGCGGGUGCUAACGUCCGUCGUGAAGAGGGAAACAACCCAGACCGCCAGCUAAGGUCCCAAAGUCAUGGUUAAGUGGGAAACGAUGUGGGAAGGCCCAGACAGCCAGGAUGUUGGCUUAGAAGCAGCCAUCAUUUAAAGAAAGCGUAAUAGCUCACUGGUCGAGUCGGCCUGCGCGG